UUAAUAAUUAAUUUUUAAAUAAUAAAGUAUUAAUUUUUUCGAUGUUUUAAAAGUUUUAUUAAAUAUAAGUUAAAUUAAAAUUAUUAAUAAUUUAAAUUAUUUCAUUUAUACGAUUAAUAUAUUACAAAUAUAACGAAUAAAUAAUGUGAAAUCGAAAAGAUAUAAGAAAUACGAGAAUAAAUGUAAAUAUUACAGGCAGAACGAGCACCGAGCUAAAGCGACAUAUAAACAUAUUUACUUCCACUUAAUUGGUUCGUGGAAAAGUAUUAAAGUCGACAAUAUUCGUAACCUCGAGUUCAGUUACCGUUUGGAUACCGAAGGAGAACGACGCGCGCGAUAACUUCCAACGCGUAUAACGAAUCAAAUCUAGGGGGAGGUAUCAUUCCAACCCUCUCCUCCUAUUCCAUCACCACCUUCUUCAUCCUGCACACGGAAAGACAAAAUCCCCAAACCCCUUCAUCUUCAUUUACCAAUGAACCAACAUUGAUCCUCGUUCCUCUUAUUGUCGCGAGACGGUGCUAACUUAAACCAAGGGAUGGCGCACCCUUUAUUUAUCGAACGGCCGAACACAGUCGAGGAGAAGGUGACUUUCUUUCCUUUCAUUUUUCUCGAAUCUCGUCUCCCCUCCCCUCCCCUUCGAAGAAAAGGAACCCCUGGAAAGGUGUUUGGAGGGGAGAGCCGCGGAGAGAAAUCGAAUUCGGAUAAGGAGGAGACGGCAAUUCCGUUUCGUGAAGUAAUAAAAGAGCUGGUGGCAUAAGAAGCACGCGCCACGUAGAUAGAUAGGAAAUCUAAUUCGUGGCGGAGGGAUGGAUCAUCCCUCGGUGUAUUAUUUAUACGGGGGUCGAAAUUGGUGGUCGAGCACGCCAGGCACGCUCCUACGCCAUCCUGCCAUGCCAGAGGAGUUGGCGGCCGUUAUUUUCCACCCUUUUCGGCGGGAAAAUUUCAUAUAUGGAAUGCCGCGCGGCCGACAACAUUCUUUAAAUUAAUAUACUGCCUUACAACCGUGAAACGAGGUAUGAACGUAAUAGGUUAAUAUCUUCUCGCGCCUUGGUUUCGUGACUCUAUUUUGCCCGAGUUAUUACUCGGCCACGGUUGAUUUAUACGCGUGCCCGAUGCAGGAGUGAUUAUUGGCGUUAAUUUACGCGCGGUGAUAGGAGAGUCUUCGUUGAGACGUUUUCCUGAAUUACGUUAAAUUUUAAGAAAAAUUCUCAAAGAUAGUUGCGCGAAUAUUUUUAAAACACUUGUAAUCCAUUCAACUUGUCAGAAUUGCCUCCUCCCAAGAUUCGGAUACGAUAUAAUAAUCUUGCAACAAUUUUUUAAAAUUUCCAAAAUUCACAACGGGCCUUGGAAAAAAUUUCCGAAAAUUUCUGUGUUCAAUCACGAAUCCGUCCUAUUUCUCUUCGAAGAGAUAAAAAAAAAAAGGCCGAAAGAAGAAGUCGAAGAAAUCGAUCCAAAAUCACAGGUUGGAGAGAUGGUGUAAAACGAGGGAGGGGGAGAGCUGAUCGAAAGCCAAUAAUUGGGAUAAACCCGUCCCAGGCCGGCAGUUUCCGGGUGAGGAUCUCGUUUCACGGCUCGAUUCUGUCACGAACCGAGCAACGAGUUUCGGGACCGCAUUCUCGCCUAAGGGAUAACUAGAAAACUUCUUUUUCCCCGUCCAGACCCCCCCUCCCCCUCCCCCUCCCGCGCCAAACACUUACCCCCUUAACCUUAUCCCUUACACCGGUCGCAUAUACGUGGAGGAGGGGAGGAGACGAGAGGAGAGAGAGAGAGAAGGGGAGGGAUAUUCCUCGCGAAGCAAGGACGUGUUCACCCAAAUGCGCUGUUAAAAUUUUAGACACAAUCUUACCAUUUGUCUUGCGGGACCUGGGAAUAAAUCUCUGCCGGCUCAGGCGGACUAAGAAAAACGCCUCGCCCAAUGUUACUACUUCGUGCGCGCGCGCGCGCGCCAUGUCCGUGUGGAUCAAGCUUGGCCCCCAUUGCUCGUUUCAGUACCUAUGUACGCGUCACACUCUUGCGCAAAAUUGGACUGUCGAUCAUUGUCGAAAUUAACAUCGUCAAAUGCGUUGAAUGUGAAAGUAAUACAAAGAAAGUCGAAUUGGUCUUUCACCUUUGGCAAAAUUAAAAUUUGAGUUAUUUCAAAUAUCACGAUGAUUUUUAUGCUAUCAAGAAUGGAGAGUAUACAUACGCGUAUGAGGUCCUUUACUGAGCUUCCCCCCCUUUUCCACCGCCCUUCUCUUCACUGGAACACCCCUUGCGAGUCACCCUUCUAUGCUCCGUCGAUAAAUCGUAAUAUUCGUAUUAACAUUCCUCGCGCUUCUUUCCACGUUACGCUCCACCCCGCCACGAUGGACGACCCGUCCGACCCACCCAGCACUGCAAAAACUUUCCGAUAUGAGCGUGGGUGGCGCGUGGUUUCGCGCGAGCGCGAAGAGAAGCACGAAGUUGGCUAAAACAGGCUGCGCGGCUCGAGCGAAUAUUUCAUCCCGGUUGACGUUGCGCCGCGGUAAAUCAGCCUCUGUGUUCUUGACUCGGUCCGUGCCUUCGAUACCUCGAUCCCAGCAUGCGGGAUUUCGCACUUUUUUGCGGGAGGGAGGGUUAUAUCUGAAGAAGUCGAGAAGUCGAAGGAGAAUUAAUUCUUGAGGGGUCUGGAAGAUGUUUCUUCGUUCUUCUCGCCAUUUUUUCUUUUUUUGGUGUUUUUUCCUCUGGUAACGUGCGCAAUAGUGUAUAAUUAUCAUUAUUAUCGCGCGAAUAUUUCUUUGAUUCUUCAAUUGAGAAGAAUUAUUUUCGCACGAAAAAACGACGACGAUCUCUAUUUAGACUUCGAUGCAUUAGUAUAGAAUCCUAGAGAAUUAUAAACGUAUCGAUAUAAUAUAAAGAUUUUUUUUCAUUUCUCGUAAUAUUCGAGUAGUAUAGAAUACAUUAAUAUUAUAUCGAAACAAUUAAUAGUAUCGAUUAAUUUCAUAAAUAAUUGUUACGAUUUUGAAUAUUCGAAUUAUCUUCCACUACUGGCGAAGCGUCAGGUUUGUCAACAAAGCGUUCGAAGCGGGGAUAGCCUCUUUUCGAGACUUUUUUCCAUCGGUGAAACGCGAUACGUAGCGUGAAAUUAGUUUGAAUAUUUUUUUAAAACGAUUCGUCUCCUCCGCGAGAAUACUCCGUCGAAAAGAACGGAAUCUGCAAUUUUUCCUUCGUCUAAUUCGUCUCCGCUCGAAAAUAUUCGAAAUGGCAAAAGCAUCGUAGCAAGCGAGCGUCUACCAUUUCGGUGCGGUGCUUUAUACGACGAUAACUCAAGUAGGCGACGUCACAGCCGCUCGCGAACGAUAUUCUCUCCGUCGGUGAAGAGGCCCGUGGUAAAAUAUGCGUCUGCUAUCUUAUUCUUCACGCCGCUUCUUCUCGAUGCAACGGCGAAACGAAAGAGACGCGGAAGAACGAAAACAAA